AGCUUUAUGAUAUUUUAUAUUAAGUUAAACCUGCCCAAUGAAAACUUAAAUGGCCGCAGUACUUUGACUGUGCUAAGGUAGCAUAAUAAAUUGACUUUUAAUUUAAGUCUGGAAUGAAAGGAUUUAUGAAUAUUUACUGUCUUAAAUUUAAUAAAAUGAAAUUACUUAUAAGGUGAAAAUUCCUUAAUUAAUUUAAUAAUAGACGAGAAGACCCUAGGAGUUUUAGAUUUUGUUGGGGCAACAUUAUAGCAAUAGUAUAGAAUAUAUACAUAUAUAAUAAAUUAAUAAAACGAUUUUAAUAAUUAUAAAUAAACUACCCUAGGGAUAACAGCAUAAUUAAUUAUUUUAGUUUAUGACCUCGAUGUUGGACUAGGGACUUUUAAUAUUUAGUUAUAUUAAUAGAUUUGUUCUGUUCGAACAUUUUAUACCU
rnacentral:rRNA from 1 species